rnacentral:rRNA from 1 species
UACCAGCACCCCGAGUGGUCGGGACGUUAUUGGGCCUAAAGCAUCCGUAGCCGGUUCUACAAGUCUUCCGUUAAAUCCACCUGCUCAACAGAUGGGCUGCGGAAGAUACUAUGGAGCUAGGAGGCGGGAGAGGCAAGCGGUACUCGAUGGGUAGGGGUAAAAUCCGUUGAUCCAUUGAAGACCACCAGUGGCGAAGGCGGCUUGCCAGAACGCGCUCGACGGUGAGGGAUGAAAGCUGGGGGGAGCAAACCGG